AGAGUUUGAUCCUGGCUCAGAUUGAACGCUGGUGGCAUGCUUAACACAUGCAAGUCGAACGGUAACAGGUCUUCGGAUGCUGACGAGUGGCGGACGGGUGAGUAACGCGUAGGAAUCUGCCCAUCUGUGGGGGAUACCAGUUGGAAACGACUGUUAAUACCGCAUAAUAUCUGCGGAUUAAAGGUGGCCUUUGCGCUGCCGCAGAUGGAUGAGCCUGCGUUGGAUUAGCUAGUUGGUGGGGUAAGGGCCUACCAAGGCUACGAUCCAUAGCUGAUUUGAGAGGAUGAUCAGCCACAUUGGGACUGAGACACGGCCCAAACUCCUACGGGAGGCAGCAGUGGGGAAUAUUGGACAAUGGGGGAAACCCUGAUCCAGCAAUGCCAUGUGUGUGAAGAAGGCUCUAGGGUUGUAAAGCACUUUAGUUGGGGAGGAAAGCCUGUGAGUUAAUAGCUUGCAGGAAGGACGUUGCCCAAAGAAUAAGGACCGGCUAACUCCGUGCCAGCAGCCGCGGUAAUACGGGGGGUCCGAGCGUUAAUCGGAAUUACUGGGCGUAAAGGGUCUGUAGGUGGUUUGUUAAGUCAGAUGUGAAAGCCCAGGGCUCAACCUUGGAACUGCAUUUGAUACUGACAAACUAGAGUAUGGUAGAGGAAUAGGGAACUUCUGGUGUAGCGGUGAAAUGCGUAGAGAUCAGAAGGAACACCAAUGGCGAAGGCAACAUUCUGGACCAAUACUGACACUGAGGGACGAAAGCGUGGGGAUCAAACAGGAUUAGAUACCCUGGUAGUCCACGCUGUAAACGAUGAGUACUAGCUGUUGGAUUCGGUGUAAAGGAUCUAGUGGCGCAGCUAACGCGUUAAGUACUCCGCCUGGGGACUACGGCCGCAAGGCUAAAACUCAAAGGAAUUGACGGGGACCCGCACAAGCGGUGGAGCAUGUGGUUUAAUUCGAUGCAACGCGAAGAACCUUACCUGGUCUUGACAUCCUGCGAACUUUCUAGAGAUAGAUUGGUGCCUUCGGGAACGCAGUGACAGGUGCUGCACGGCUGUCGUCAGCUCGUGUUGUGAAAUGUUGGGUUAAGUCCCGCAACGAGCGCAACCCCUAUUGAUAGUUACCAUCAUUAAGUUGGGUACUCUAUUGAGACUGCCGCUGACAAGGCGGAGGAAGGUGGGGACGACGUCAAGUCAUCAUGGCCCUUACGACCAGGGCUACACACGUGCUACAAUGGGUAUUACAGAGGGCUGCGAAGGUGCGAGCUGGAGCGAAACUCAGAAAGGUACUCUUAGUCCGGAUUGCAGUCUGCAACUCGACUGCAUGAAGUCGGAAUCGCUAGUAAUCGCAGGUCAGAAUACUGCGGUGAAUACGUUCCCGGGUCUUGUACACACCGCCCGUCACACCAUGGGAGUGGGUUGCUCCAGAAGUAGAUAGCUUAACGAAUGGGCGUUUACCACGGAGUGAUUCAUAACUGGGGUGAAGUCGUAACAAGGUAGCCGUAGGGGAACCUGCGGCUGGAUCACCUCCUUA
rnacentral:rRNA from 1 species